UACGGAGGGGGCUGGCGUUGUUCGGAAUUACUGGGCGUAAAGCGCGCGUAGGCGGACCUGCAAGGCGGGGGGGAAAGCCCGAGGCUCAACCUCGGAACUGCCUUCGAUACUGCGGGUCUCGAGUCCGGGAGAGGUGAGUGGAAUUCCUAGUGUAGAGGUGAAAUUCGUAGAUAUUAGGAAGAACACCAGUGGCGAAGGCGGCUCACUGGCCCGGUACUGACGCUGAGGCGCGAAAGCGUGGGGAGCAAACAGG
rnacentral:rRNA from 1 species